AACGAACGCUGGCGGCAGGCCCAACACAUGCAAGUCGAACGGGAUCUUCGGAUCUAGUGGCGGACGGGUGAGUAACGCGUGGGAACGUGCCCUUUGGUUCGGAAUAGCCCUGGGAAACAGGGAGUAAUACCGGAUGAGCCCUUCGGGGGACGGAUUUACGGCGAAAGGAUCGGCCCGCGUUGGAUUAGGUAGUUGGUGGGGUACUGGCCGACCAAGCCGACGAUCCAUAGCGGGUUUGAGAGGAUGAUCAGCCACACUGGGACUGAGACACGGCCCAGACUGCUACGGGAGGCAGCAGUGGGGAAUCAUAGACAACUGGGGAAACCCUGAUCUAGCAAUGCCGCGUGAGCGAUGAAGGCCUUAGGGUUGUAAAGCUCUUUCGUGGGGGAAGAUAAUGACUGUACCCCAAGAAGAAGCCCCGGCUAACUCCGUGCCAGCCGCCGCGGUAAGAC
rnacentral:rRNA from 1 species